UGAUUGUAUAUUGGAGACGAUACAGGC
rnacentral:sRNA from 1 species